GAUGAACGCUGGCGGCGUGCCUAAUACAUGCAAGUCGAGCGAACAGACGAGGAGCUUGCUCCUCUGACGUUAGCGGCGGACGGGUGAGUAACACGUGGAUAACCUACCUAUAAGACUGGGAUAACUUCGGGAAACCGGAGCUAAUACCGGAUAAUAUAUUGAACCGCAUGGUUCAAUAGUGAAAGACGGUUUUGCUGUCACUUCUAGAUGGAUCCGCGCCGCAUUAGCUAGUUGGUAAGGUAACGGCUUACCAAGGCGACGAUGUGUAGCCGACCUGAGAGGGUGAUCGGCCACACUGGUACUGAGACACGGUCCAGACUCCUACGGGAGGCAGCAGUAGGGAAUCUUCCGCAAUGGGCGAAAGCCUGACGGAGCAACGCCGCGUGAGUGAUGAAGGUCUUCGGAUCGUAAAACUCUGUUAUUAGGGAAGAACAAAUGUGUAAGUAACUAUGCACGUCUUGACGGUACCUAAUCAGAAAGCCACGGCUAACUACGUG
rnacentral:rRNA from 1 species